rnacentral:lncRNA from 1 species
UGGCCCGAGGCCUGGACAGGGUGGCCCGCCCCGUGCUGGUGGACCUGGUGGCGCGCCUGCUGGCGCUGGUGCCGUUCCUGGUGCUCCUGCUCCCCGUGUCUAGUUUGGGAAUGCUUCCGUGAUAUGGAGCCAGCCCUAGUUUUACUCGUCCCUGGAUAUUGAACUAUUCUACCUAGUUUUUGCUGCAAUCGGUUGUACUGAAAGUUGGUUGGUCAAGCACAAUUUGUGAUCAGGUCUUUAUGUUUUGACAAUUUCGCUGCUAUCUAUAUCAGAGAGAACCUUUUGGUUUGUCUGGGGAUGCCCCUUGUUGUUUUGCAUUCAUGCAUCAUAUCAUCUUUUAGUUCUCUCAAGACUGAUUUGAAUCCUGUCAGUACUUAAGUCCUCUUAGUAUU